rnacentral:piRNA from 1 species
UCGUGCUGUUCGCUGGUGCUGAUCAGGGC